rnacentral:rRNA from 1 species
CCUACGGGAGGCAGCAGUGGGGAAUAUUGCACAAUGGGCGCAAGCCUGAUGCAGCGACGCCGCGUGGGGGAUGACGGCCUUCGGUUGUAAACCCUUUCAGGAGGGACGAUAAUGGACCGGUACCGGAGGAAUAAGACCCGGCCUAACUUCGUGCCAGCAGCCGCGGU